rnacentral:rRNA from 1 species
AAUCAACGCUGGCGGCGCGCUUAACACAUGCAAGUCGAACGAGAAAGGGGAGCAAUCCCUGAGUAAAGUGGCGCACGGGUGAGUAACACGUGGGUAAUCUGCCUCUGGGUGGGGAAUAACUCUGGGAAACCGGAGCUAAUACCGCAUACGCUCGCAAGAGGAAAGGCGCAAGUCGCCGAGAGAGGAGCCCGCGGCUGAUUAGCUGGUUGGUGGGGUAAAGGCUCACCAAGGCAAAGAUCGGUAGCCGGCCUGAGAGGGCACACGGCCACACUGGCACUGAAACACGGGCCAGACUCCUACGGGAGGCAGCAGUGGGGAAUCUUGCACAAUGGGGGCAACCCUGAUGCAGCGACGCCGCGUGAGCGAUGAAGCCCUUUCGGGGUGUAAAGCUCUUUCGACCCGGAGAUGAUGACGGUACGGGAGAAGAAGCUGCGGCUAACUACGUGCCAGCAGCCGCCGUAAC